AUUGAACGCUGGCGGCAGGCCUAACACAUGCAAGUCGAACGAGUGGCGGACGGGUGAGUAAUGUCUGGGAAACUGCCUGCUGGAGGGGGAUAACUACUGGAAACGGUAGCUAAUACCGCAUACCAUCGGAUGUGCCCAGAUGGGAUUAGCUAGUAGGUGGGGUAAAGGCUCACCUAGGCGACGAUCCCUAGAUGGUCUGAGAGGAUGACCAGCCAAACUGGAACGGGGACACGGUCAGGACUCCUACGGGAGGCAGCAGUGGGGAUAAUUGCACAAUGGGAGCAAGCCGGAGGAAGCAAUGCCGCGGGGAGGAAGAGGGCCUUCGAGUUGUAAAGUACUUUCAGCGGGGAGGCGUUACCCGCAGAGGAAGCACCGGCUAACUCCGUGCCAGCAGCCGCGGUAAUUC
rnacentral:rRNA from 1 species